UAUUUUUUUUUUUUUUUUUUUUUUUUUUUUUUUUUUUUUUUUUAUGUAUAGUUUUUUUUUUUUUUUUUUUUUUUUUUUUUUUUUUUUUUUUUUUUUUUUUUUUUUUUAUGAAUAUAUUGAUCUUUUUUUUUUGAUUAUACAUUUAUGUGUUUUAUUGAUUUACAAUUUUUUUUUUUUUUUUUUUUUUUUUUUUUUUUUUUUUUUUUUUUUUUUUUUUUUUUUUUUUUUUAUAUUACUAUAUAAUAUAUUAACGUAAAAAAAAAAAAAAAAAAAAAAAAAAAAAAAAAAAAAAAAAAAAAAAAAAAAAAAAAAAAAGAGGAAGAAGACCUCUAUAAAAAUUACCCCGAAUC
rnacentral:misc_RNA from 1 species